rnacentral:rRNA from 1 species
AGAGUUUGAUCAUGGCUCAGAUUGAACGCUGGCGGCAGGCCUAACACAUGCAAGUCGAGCGGUAGCACAGAGAGCUUGCUCUCGGGUGACGAGCGGCGGACGGGUGAGUAAUGUCUGGGAAACUGCCUGAUGGAGGGGGAUAACUACUGGAAACGGUAGCUAAUACCGCAUAAUGUCGCAAGACCAAAGUGGGGGACCUUCGGGCCUCAUGCCAUCAGAUGUGCCCAGAUGGGAUUAGCUAGUAGGUGGGGUAACGGCUCACCUAGGCGACGAUCCCUAGCUGGUCUGAGAGGAUGACCAGCCACACUGGAACUGAGACACGGUCCAGACUCCUACGGGAGGCAGCAGUGGGGAAUAUUGCACAAUGGGCGCAAGCCUGAUGCAGCCAUGCCGCGUGUGUGAAGAAGGCCUUCGGGUUGUAAAGCACUUUCAGCGGGGAGGAAGGCGNNNNNNNNNNNNNNNNNNNNNNNNNNNNCGAUUGACGUUACCCGCAGAAGAAGCACCGGCUAACUCCGUGCCAGCAGCCGCGGUAAUACGGAGGGUGCAAGCGUUAAUCGGAAUUACUGGGCGUAAAGCGCACGCAGGCGGUCUGUCAAGUCGGAUGUGAAAUCCCCGGGCUCAACCUGGGAACUGCAUUCGAAACUGGCAGGCUAGAGUCUUGUAGAGGGGGGUAGAAUUCCAGGUGUAGCGGUGAAAUGCGUAGAGAUCUGGAGGAAUACCGGUGGCGAAGGCGGCCCCCUGGACAAAGACUGACGCUCAGGUGCGAAAGCGUGGGGAGCAAACAGGAUUAGAUACCCUGGUAGUCCACGCCGUAAACGAUGUCGAUUUGGAGGUUGUGCCCUUGAGGCGUGGCUUCCGGAGCUAACGCGUUAAAUCGACCGCCUGGGGAGUACGGCCGCAAGGUUAAAACUCAAAUGAAUUGACGGGGGCCCGCACAAGCGGUGGAGCAUGUGGUUUAAUUCGAUGCAACGCGAAGAACCUUACCUGGUCUUGACAUCCACAGAACUUNNNNNNUUGGUGCCUUCGGGAACUGUGAGACAGGUGCUGCAUGGCUGUCGUCAGCUCGUGUUGUGAAAUGUUGGGUUAAGUCCCGCAACGAGCGCAACCCUUAUCCUUUGUUGCCAGCGGUCCGGCCGGGAACUCAAAGGAGACUGCCAGUGAUAAACUGGAGGAAGGUGGGGAUGACGUCAAGUCAUCAUGGCCCUUACGACCAGGGCUACACACGUGCUACAAUGGCAUAUACAAAGAGAAGCGACCUCGCGAGAGCAAGCGGACCUCAUAAAGUAUGUCGUAGUCCGGAUUGGAGUCUGCAACUCGACUCCAUGAAGUCGGAAUCGCUAGUAAUCGUAGAUCAGAAUGCUACGGUGAAUACGUUCCCGGGCCUUGUACACACCGCCCGUCACACCAUGGGAGUGGGUUGCAAAAGAAGUAGGUAGCUUAACCUUCGGGAGGGCGCUUACCACUUUGUGAUUCAUGACUGGGGUGAAGUCGUAACAAGGUAACCGUAGGGGAACCUGCGGUUGGAUCACCU